UAUUGGGGAUUUAGAGUAUCUUUAAUAGGUGGGAAGAAUUUCACAGGAAGUAGUGGAGAUUCAUAGAUUGAAUUACAUCAGGGGAAAUUAUGUAUUGUGAUCUUUUUUAUGCAUGUGAUUUUCUGGAUAAAAAUUUUUUGUAAGUCCCUGUGGUUCCACGAGGACUUCAUCUACCCACUAGGUUUUUCUUCUCAUGGGUCGUGGCUUAUGCUUGAGUAGCAGUCAAGCAAGGCACACUCAUAGGGAACCAUCCUCAUGAUGGAGAACUUUGUUAGUGUGUGUAUAAGACAUAUAAAGAGCCAAUAGACCAUAUUGUCUUUUCCUGCAACUUAUCACCCUUUGUGCCGGUGCUUUGGGUGUACUGGGUAGUUCCCCACAUUUUGAUGUAUCAAAUCGGGAGGGGAAUAUGCAAUAAUGUCAUCUUCAGUUCAUGCUGAUUUUUUCCUCGUCUUAGGUGUAACAGUCAGAGAGAAGCUGUGAACAGCCAGACAGUGGCAAGUGUUGCCUAAUUUAUUGUUUUGUAAGGUUUUGAAGUUGUUUCCGCUAGGGCUUGAGUGACGGUGAGUGAAGGAGAGACUGCAUGUUUUUUCUCCUGUUUGUAUUGUGUUUGUGGUUUAAGCCUUCGUGAUGAGAAGUGAAAUCUUAUUCAUUUGGGUUCACUGUAAAGUAUUUUUGAUGGAACAGUAGUAAUUUUGUUUGAAUGCUCUUUAGGUAUGUUCUGAUCUUCACGUGAUGAACUUUUGCAUGGUAGAAGAGUUUCAGGCGUGUGUUUUUAUGGUCAUUAUAACUUUCAAGUGA